rnacentral:lncRNA from 1 species
UUUCCAUACACAGUAAUUAGAAAUGAAGAAAGAAACAAUAAAUCAUCUCUUGUCACAUGUGAAAAAUGCCUUCCUCUGUAACAUAAAACAAAUUGGAACAAAACUAUUUUCCUCUCUCACGUGUCCAACCUCUCUCUUGAGAUCCACAAAUCUUUCUUUUUUCAAACAACAAAUUGCAGUGAUCAAACAUAUAUCAAAACUCCUUAUAACAAAAUAGAAUAAAGAAGAACAAAGAGGAAGGAGAGAAAAAACUACCGACAACAACGAUAAUGAAGGGUGAACAAAAAGGAUAUGACCGACGAACUAGAUCUGCACAAUGAUGUUGGUUUUUACACCGGCGAAUGCGUGACGAUGGCUGUAAGUCCGGAUCUGCGGUGGUGGUUGGAAAUGUGUUUAAGUUGUUAAAGUCGUUGUUGGAAUAUUAUUUCACGGUGGGAUUGAGUGUUACCGAGUGUCGUUGAGUUGAAGUGAAGGUGAGGUAGUGAUGGUGUAAAUGAGAAGAUGGAAGUGUUAUUUGUGUUGUAUUAUGUGUGGUGUGAGUUGGAAUUUUUUUGUUUUUUUUAGAAUCAUUUCUCUCAUGUCACAUUGAAAGAAAAGCUUGGAUAAUAUAACAUGGGGAGCUACUAUAUUAUGGUUUAAAUGAAGAGGAAGUGGUAUUGAUAUAGUGUUGUAAUUAUGAAGCAAUUUAUGGUGGUUCCUUCAUGUGGAAAAGAAAAAGGAGUAUGGGUUUUAUUGUUUGAAAAUGGUGG